UUAUCCUCUUAUUUUUUCUUCUCUUCUUCUAAUCUAAACCGAGCUCUGCGAAACCAAAUCCAAGUUUCCAGAAAUCAAAACCCAUUCCUCUUAAACCCUAAUCUCAUAAAUCAAAUCUUAUCUUUCGGAAAUGAAACCCAAUCUUUCGAUAAGUCAAACCCUGGAAAUCUUUUUUCUCUGUAAAAUCAAAUGGCUCUAUAAGGUGUGAAGUUUCUCUCUGGUGAUGACCUACUGGAUCCUGCUGGAUGCGAGCUGAGAAUAGAGAAAGAAGAGGGAGAUCGAAUUUGAUUGGUGGUAGUUGCUUCAGAUGGUGGAGUUUAGGAGUGAUUGCAAUGGUUUGCAGGUGAGGAAUGGUAGAGAUAAUGCAUAGAACUGGUGGUGUUUGGAGCAACAGAAGAUGAAAUGGGUUUUGCAGUUUUAGUCUGAAGUUAAGUUGCAGGUUCAGGAGAUGGAUUUGGUUACUGCUAAUGGAUAGAGGAGGUAUGUACUGAAAUGGCAGUUCCUGGUGGUUAUGUUGGUGAAUGUUGCCUGAGGAAUCUGAGUGGGAGAUGGAACUGUUAGUGUUGAUGAGAUGGUUUGUUUUUGAAGCUGUAUGUGGAUAAAAUGCAGAGAAACAGUGGGUUGUAUUUUUGCUGAUGCAGUGGAUGUAUGAGAUGGAGAUGGUUGAGCAGCAGAGAGGCCUUGAAAUGUGAUGUGCUUGGAUCUUGUUGUUGCCAAGAGAAUGGACUGUCUUGGUGAUGUGUAAACAGGGAAGAAGAACAAAUCUGGUGUUGCAGUUGAAUGAAUGGAUUGAGCUGAUGUUGAGGAAUGAGCUGAAUUGCAGAUGGUUGGUGGUCUAGUAUUGCAGGAAUGGAGUUGCGUGGUUCAAUGGCCUUUUACUUCGCAGUAGCAAUUUCAGGAGCUGGAUGCUAGGGUCAGGAAGCUACAACAAGUGUAGAUGGUGUUGCAGAACAAGAAAUUGUGAUGGACUCCAUAGCUAGUUCACAGAUAUUUACAAUGUCUUUUGAUGGAAACAUGUAGCUCUAUGACAUAGUUCUACAUCAUUGAGCAUGCUUGAUUAUAAAUGAUAAUCUGGCCAGUAUGACAUAUAUGAAGGUGAUGAGCUAAACUGGAAGCAUCCACCUGCACGUGGAUGUCAAUGGACACUAUAUUCUCUGAUUGCAGGGAACAAACUCCGGGCACGCAAGAUAUCUUUCACCGUCCAUCGCUACUUGCCUGACAAAAGUUAUGAAGAUUGAGGAGUUGAUGAGCUGAUUGUUAAAGACUCUUGGAAGAGACAAGUUGUUGGGGCUCUUGUUAUCACACUAUGAUCAAUAUUCCUUGAUAAUCUCAUUCUCUUUGAAGGUUAGAUGGGUGGUGGCAAAAAUGGUGCGACUUUGGAGGACAUUCUAAUUCAUAAUUUCCCAUACAUGACUCCAAAAAACUGAACUGCAGCAUGGUAAGUUGGCUGACAAAGAAAAUCGGCCAACGGAGGGUCUUGUCACUAUAGGUGUAACUUCAGGUGCUUCUACCCAAGAUAAGAAAAGAUGCCAUGAAGCCGGCAAUUUAUGGAUGGAUUGGUUGAUUACAUCAUGUCAUUAUGCCAGCUGCAAAAAAAGAAUCGAGGUACCUUGUAGAGGCUAGUUGAAACUUGGGCAAGUCUUGUAGUGUGCCAACAUACACGCUCCCACUAUUUUCUUGUUGCUCUAAUCAUUAAAGCUAGGACCAAGUAUUGUGAGCAUAUUUGGAGUAACCCGGAAACAAUAGCUUCGUAGCAAUAUUUCUUAUGUUCCGGACUGGAAUUUCAUUGAAUUUUUUUCUAAGUUUAUAAUGUUGUAGGGAUUAGUGAUUCGCUGAUCAGGUCAGGGUUCAAUAUUAUUUGUAAUACGGGAAUAGAUUUAGCAAUUUAUUUAUUUUAUACUAAUAAAAUAAUUUGCAAUGGAUGUAUAUGUUGCUUAAAUUAUUUUAAACGUUGCA